AUUGAACGCUGGCGGCAUGCCUUACACAUGCAAGUCGAACGGCAGCACGGGAGCAAUCCUGGUGGCGAGUGGCGAACGGGUGAGUAAUGUAUCGGAACGUGCCCAGUCGUGGGGGAUAACGUAGCGAAAGCUACGCUAAUACCGCAUACGAUCUAUGGAUGAAAGCGGGGGAUCGCAAGACCUCGCGCGAUUUGAGCGGCCGAUAUCAGAUUAGGUAGUUGGUGGGGUAAAGGCCCACCAAGCCUGCGAUCUGUAGCUGGUCUGAGAGGACGACCAGCCACACUGGAACUGAGACACGGUCCAGACUCCUACGGGAGGCAGCAGUGGGGAAUUUUGGACAAUGGGCGCAAGCCUGAUCCAGCAAUGCCGCGUGCAGGAUGAAGGCCUUCGGGUUGUAAACUGCUUUUGUACGGAACGAAACGGCUUUUUCUAAUACAGAGAGCUAAUGACGGUACCGUAAGAAUAAGCACCGGCUAACUACGUGCCAGCAGCCGCCGUAA
rnacentral:rRNA from 1 species